GGCUCAAACCCACAAACCCUGAGAACAUGAACAGAGCUGAAGUCUGAUGCUUAACAGACUGAGCCACCCAGGCGCCCCUAAAAUGCAGAUUUUAAAUUCAGUUUGUAGGGGAGAGGGGAGUUGAUACUCACUUUUUUAACAUGCUUCAAAGUGAUGUCAUCCUUCAGGUCUGGAUUGCACUUUAGCAAGACUCUAGUCUCUUUACUUUUUUCUAAAUUCCUUCAUCCCAUUAUUACAUUUUUAACAUUUCUUCAUGAUACUAGGAGGCCAGGGACCAUGGCUGCUUUGCUCCUGGCGGUUCCUAAAGGUCUAGCGUAGGUUUCUCAAUCUCGGCACUACUGGCUUUGGGGCCAGAUCAUUCUCUAUCAUGGCGGGCUUUGUGGGACGUUUAGCAGCAUCCCCCUACAUGCCAGUAGCACCUCUGCCCCAGAUGUGACAAACAAAAAUGUCUUCAGGCAUUGCCACAUGUUUACUACAGUAUGUAUAUUUAUCCCAACGUCAUUAUUUGACCCUCGGUACUUACAGGCAUCACCGCAGACUUUAUCCUGUACUGUUUGGCUUAUUGUGUCCCUAAUUAGAUUGGGUGCUAUGAAGGCAGGGAACUUAUCUCAUACUUCUCCAUCUGCUACAGCUCCUGUCACAAUAGUGGGCACCUGCAGGUGCUUUUUAGCUAACCUCAAAGCAUCAUAUUGGUACGUGCUCUGUAACUAAUCGAACCAGAGAGAGAGUGCCGUACACAGAGCUCAUUACCUGAUGAAUAAAUGUCGAAGGACAACAUAGUCUUUGGAAUCAAAGACUGGUGUGAGACUCCUUCUCACUAACUUAGCACUUCACAUGUGUCUUUGUAUAAAGGCAAAAACAAGGGUCACCAAAGUGUAAAACGUUUAUUAGAUAGUAAUCAAAGAACAAAAAUAGGUCAAUAUUUUGUAACUCUCUAUCUACAGAUAAGAGGUAGGUCCUCUGGUACUGAGGGUAGCAGGAGAGAAGGAAUUUCAGGGCUAUUAACAGUGGCUGAAAGAGACUUGGAGGCCACAAUUCAGGAUAGGUUUUCCGAAGCCAGCAGAUGGCGCUAAGAGAGUACUUAUUCUCAGUGCCAAAGCCAUCAUUCCACAAGAUGCAGAGGAAAAGUGAUAGAGGCCUCCUCAGUCCAAAAUUAUUCACUAAGUGAAUACAUGUUUACUGAGCAUUGACCCAGCGUGAGGCAAGAUACAAGACUUUUUAUUUCGAAGUGAGGAUAUCGAAUGAGAAUGGGGAAUGGCCUGUUGUCACAGGCCCCUUUUGGGAAUGAUUAAGACUAUGCAACUAUAUGCAAUGAGCCUGGUGAAAAUUUUCUCAAGUCGUGCCGUUGCAACUAAGAACAGAGCAUUCCCUAGAUGAAACUCAACACGCGUAUGCCGAAAAGCAUGAGGUUUUGCUCCAGGAGCAUCGGAAAAGCGCUCAGACGAUGAACAAGGAAGCCCUGCGAAUGCCCUGCUUGUGUGCUACUGGCUGCUUCCUCGGGGCUGUGGGGUCCCUGGCGGAGCAGCCGGCAACUUACUGCUCAGAGGUGGCCCGGGGCGGGGCGCGGGGGGUGAGGUGGGGGGGACAACCGUGCGGUCUCCCCUCCAACAACAACAACAAACCCAAAACAACGAAAUUUGGAGAUGCAGUGGGACAUUCUUUCACAAAGUAGCUUCUAUCAGUCCUGUUUGAUUUUCUUUAAUAAGUCUGUUCUUUUCAAAUGACUUAAUGAUUGUCAGAAUUUUACCGAGGGCCAAGUGUACUGUGAUCUCAGUGAGUUAUGGUGUUUU